AACUGUACGGUGUAAAACGACAGAUGAUCCUAUUUUCUUGCCCACAACAACAGACAGGAGUCCCCGUAGCAACUUUAAUCAGCAGACAGUUGAGUCACAAUUAAAAUCUUUAAAUGGUUUUGACAGAGGUUGAUGAAUAAAUUCAACAAUCAGGAUUGAG